rnacentral:rRNA from 1 species
GGCUCAGGAUGAACGCUAGCGGCAAGGGCUUAACACAUGCAAGUCGAGGGCAGCGUGAGGUUAGCAUAACCCUUGACGGCGACCGGCGCAAGGGUGCGUAACGCGUGAGCAACUUGCCCUUAUCAGGGGGAUAACCGGUGGAAACGCCGACUAAUACCCCCAUGGCAUCACAUCAAGGCAUCUUUUUGUGAUUAAAGAAAUUCGGAUAAGGAUAGGCUCGCGUGACAUUAGCUAGACGGCGGGGUAACGGCCCACCGUGGCGACGAUGUCUAGGGGUUCUGAGAGGAAGGUCCCCCACACUGGAACUGAGACACGGUCCAGACUCCUACGGGAGGCAGCAGUGAGGAAUAUUGGUCAAUGGUCUGACGACUGAACCAGCCAUGCCGCGUGAAGGUCACGGCCCUAUGGGUCUUAAACUUCUUUUGCGAGGGAGCAAUAAGGUCUACGUGUAGUCCGAUGAGAGUACCUCGCGAAUAAGCAUCGGCUAACUCCGUG